GGACUAGCUGAGCAUAAAAAAACGUGGUAAGCAGUGAUCUGAUCUCACUGGCACCGCUGAUAUUGUAACUUAGUAAGUGAUUGAUAAAUGGACACCAUGUAGUGAAAUUCAGCCAGUGACUUACAGCUCCUAUGAAUACAUUGGGAUGCAAGGCCUUCACUGAGAGAGACAGCAGACCAUGUGUGAACCGCGGGAUUGCUUAAAUAUCUAGGAAGUGGAAAAUAGAACCCAAUCCACGGGGCCUUGGAUAUCUGUGUGGAUAUCAACACAGUUGUUGAGCUUUGGCAACGGCCAGGAAGAAUUCUGACAGAUUUUUUUGUUGAACUUUACGGAGAGCUUGAUCAGAUCCAGAGGAGAGUUUUGAUCAUUGGUGUUCACGACGUUACCAAGGCGAUUUUUUUUUUUUGUGGGUGUUUUUGUUGUUGCGUCAUUGUACCAUCCUCAACUCUAGUAUGACUGAACGUUUUGCUCAUCUCUUUGUUAAUCU